GCCGAAAGGCGUAGUCGAAGGACAACAGGUUGAAAUUCCUGUACCACCGUAAUCCGUUACGAGCGAUGGGGGGACGCAGGAGGGCAAGAACGCGAGCUGAUGGAAUAGCUCGUCCAAGCAGUGAGGGGUGUGUGUAGGCAAAUCCGCACACUAAUACCUUGAGCUGUGAUGGGGAGGGAAAAUUACAGUACCGAAGGUUCCGUGCUCACGCUGCCGAGAAAAGCCUCUAGCCAGGAGAAGGUGCCCGUACCGCAAACCGACACAGGUAGGCGAGCAGAGAAUGCUAAGGCGCGCGGAAGAACUCUCGUUAAGGAACUCGGCAAAAUG
rfam:Marchantia polymorpha subsp. polymorpha scaffold3881, whole genome shotgun sequence.